AUUGAACGCUGGCGGCGUGCUUAACACAUGCAAGUCGAUCGGUAACAGGUGUAGCAAUACAUGCUGACGAGAGGCGGACGGGUGAGGAACGCUUGGGAAUCUGCCUAUCAGCGGGGGACAACCCGGGGAAACCCGGGCUAAUACCGCAUACGCUCUACGGAGGAAAGCCGGGGACCGCAAGGCCUGGCACUGAUAGAUGAGCCCAAGUCGGAUUAGCUAGUUGGCGGGGUAACGGCCCACCAAGGCGACGAUCCGUAGCUGGUCUGAGAGGACGAUCAGCCACGCCGGAACUGAGACACGGUCCGGACUCCUACGGGAGGCAGCAGUGGGGAAUAUUGGACAAUGGGCGAAAGCCUGAUCCAGCGACGCCGCGUGGGUGAAGAAGGCCUGCGGGUUGUAAAGCCCUUUCGGUAGGGACGAAAGCUCUCGACCUAACACGUCGGGAGGUUGACUUAACCUACAAAAGAAGCACCGGCUAACUCUGUGCCAGCCGCCGCCGUAA
rnacentral:rRNA from 1 species